UUUUCCUUUAUUUAUAUAUUUUUGCGCUAGUGGGGCAGCCUACUGGAAACGCGCGGUACUAUGGAGACGGUUGGGUCAAAUUAAUUUGACAUUCUUCCCCCAGCGCAAGAGCACAUUGUAUGAAUGUGGCUUUGUUUACAUGCGGCUGUUUUCGCGUGUUUUCAUCGUGAUUGCCCGGUUCUGCUAUUUUAGUGCUUUCGUUGGUUUUCCCUAUCAAUAUUUUCCUCCUUAACCAUUGGUGUAAGUGUAACAUCUCAGUUAAGUGGUUAGUCGCACUAAUAAGCCCACCCCGUUUGUGUUUUCGCCUGUCUAGUCUGCUGCACUUGUCUCAUCGCGUUAAGGAUCACGUCUCUGCCGUCGAACGCUUCCAUCGGAUGAUCUUCGUUCGGAAUUCCAUAGAAAUGGUUCGGCGUAAGGGCAGGUUUUGAUGGGUGCCUUCGUCAGUGGCUGGGAGUUGACGACAUCUGUCGCGCCGAUGAAGUUUGCACCGCGAUCACUAACGCGCCACGACAUUCGUAGAAUCUUCCCAGUCAAGGCGCCCGUGCACAAAAUCGCACGCUUGUCCGUUCGAGUCCCGUGUUGCAACGUGUACAUCCCAUUACGGAUUUCGAAGCCACCUUCCGCUUCGAUGAUUCGAAUCUCUUCCGAUUGUCUGGUUCACUUGUGAUUACGUGGUGAUUGCCGUAAGCGUUUGCGUCUUGCCGCAAGGAUCCACGGGGAUACGGUCCGAAGGCGAUCCAAUCUAAGCGGGUUUUGAUGGCGGCUGGCUCCUGUUUCCUUCCCUCCACGAAUGCAAAUGGACGCAUUAGCUGACAAUUAUCGAUGCCGAUGUGAAUUCGCGGUGUCACGUCGGAAUAAGAUCGCAACUUUAGACCUUCCAGAUACUUUCUAGACGUAGCAUCUGCUGAGAACGAUUGUGAAGUCUCACCGGUCCCUCUGAUGCACAACGGAUGCGGUGUCGCUUUAAGACCUAGUUCCCCGAUCAAACUCUCUUCAAUGGACGUUCCCGUUGAACCAAUAUAAAAAACGCGUACGUCUCCACGGCCUUAUUGUCGCCAAAUACAACCACAGGAGUAUACGGAGCGCCAGCUGGAUGUUCUUCGGCCUGAUAGUUACACAUUUGGUAUGAUUAGCUCACAGGUGAGUGUCUUCGAACAGAGCGACCAGAUAGGCUUUGUUACCCUUCAGCAGAGCAUCGAUGGCGGCCGACUAGAAACGCAAAUCGGCCUUGAAAUUUAGGUCGUAGUAGAAGUAGUAAGUAGUAGUAGUAAUGUUUUAUUUAUUGUUUGUGAUAAUAAGAAUACAAGUACAUUUCAAGAUGUUUAUACAGUGGGUUCGUUUUAGUGCUUUCCUCAAUACUAGUAACUUUUAUAUAGCUUUGCUGUUUUGAUUUUACGUUGCUAGUUAGCAUUACCUUUAUGGUGAUUGGAAAAUGGGGUGGGAAAAUUUACAAAACCCACCAUAGGACAAGAGAAAAAAAAGUUUUAUGUUUUAUGUGUUUUUUUUUUGUGUUUUUUUAUCUAUAUUUAACGAAUUACGACAGGUUACGAAAGAAGGAAAAAAGCUAAGACUAAUCUUAAUUAUCUAACAGUGAAUUUCGUUGGAGAGGUAGGAUAGAAAGAA